AUAGCACAACAUCUCUAAUUCUUGUAAUAUAAUCACUUGUGAAUAUUGCCCUGUGGGAUGAAGAAUGGUGAAACCUCCCUAGUUCUUGUGUUAUGAUGACUUGUGGAUAUUGUCCUUUUGGAUUUAGAUGUAGGAUGUUCUUGUGCUACAUUGACUUGUAAAUAUUGCCUUUUUGGGAUGAAGAAUAGCGCAACAUCUCUAAUUCUUGUAAUAUAAUCACUGGUGAAUAUUGCCCUUUAGGAUGUAGAACGGUGAUACCUCUCUUGUUCUUGUGUUAUAAUGACAUGAGAAUAUUGCCCUUUGGGAUGAAGAAUGGUGAAACCUCUCUUGUUUUUGUGUUAUAAUGACAUGUGAAUAUUGCCCAUUGGGAUGAAGAAUGGUGAAACCUCUCUUGUUCUUGUGUUAUAAUGACAUGUGAAUGUUGCCCUUUGGGAUGUAGGAAGGUGAAACCUCUCUAUUUCUUGUGUUAUGAUGACUUGUAAAUAUUGCCUUUUGGGAUGAAGAAUAGUGAAGCCUCUCUAGUUCUUAUGUUAUGAUUAUCUGUAAAAAAUGUUUUGCCUCUUGGGGUGAAAAAUGGUAAAAUCUUUCAACUUUUUGUGUUCUGUGAUGAUUUGUAACAUUGCCUAUAGGGGCGAAGAAUGGUAAAACCGUUCUAGUUUUUGUGCUAUAAUGACUUGUGAAUAUUGCCUUUUGGGAUGAAGAAUAGCUAAACAUCUCUAAUUCUUGUGUUAUGAUGACUUGUGAAUAUUGCCUUUUGAGAUGUAGGAUGGUUUAAAUCUCUCUUGUUCUUGUGUUAUAAUGACAUGUAAAUAUUGACUUUUGGGCUGUAGGAUAGUAAAAUCUGCCUAGUUCUUGUGUUAUAAAGUCUUGUAAUUAUUGCCUAUAGGAUGUAGGAUAGUAAAAUCUGCCUAGUUCUUUUGUUAUAAUGACUUGUAAAUAUUGCCUUUAGGGAUGAAGAAUAGCGAAACAUCUCUAAUUCUUGUGUUAUAAUGACUUGUGAAUAUUGCCCUUUGGGAUGUAGGAUGGUAAAAUGUGCCCAGUUCUUGUGUUAUAAUGACUUGUAAAUAUUGUCUUUAGGGAUAAAGAUUAGUGAAAUCUUGCUAGUUUUGUGUUAUAAAUCACUUCUGAAUACUGCCUUUUUCGAUGAAGAAUAGUGAAACCUCUCUUGUUCUCGUGUUAUAAUGACAUGUGAAUAUUGCCCUUUGGGAUGAAGAAUGGUGAAACCUCUCUUGUUCUUGUAUUAUAAUGACAUGUGAAUACUGCCCUUUGUGAUGAAGAAUGGUGAAACCUCUCUACUUCUUGUGUUAUGGCUUGUGAAUAUUGCCCUUUGGGAUGAAGAAUGGUGAAACCUCUCUACUUCUUGUGUUAUGGCUUGUGAAUAUUGCCCUUUGGGAUGAAGAAUGGUGAAACCUCUCUUGUUCUUGUGUUAUAAUGACAUGUGAAUAUUGCCCUUUGGGAUGAAGAAUGGUGAAACCUCUCUUGUUCUUGUGUUAUGAUGACUUGUAAAUAUUGCCUUUUGGGAUGAAGAAUAGUGAAGCCUCUCUAGUUCUUAUGUUAUGAUUAUCUGUAAAAAAUGUUUUGCCUCUUGGGGUGAGGAAUGGUAAAAUCUUUCGACUUUUUGUGUUCUGUGAUGAUUUGUAACAUUGCCUAUUGGUGUGAAGAAUGGUAGUUUUUGUGCUAUAAUAACUUGUGAAUAUUGCCUUUUGGGAUGAAGAAUAGGUAAACAUCUCUAAUUCUUGUGUUAUGAUGACUUGUGAAUGUUGCCCUUUGGGAUGUAGGAUGGUUAAAACCUCUCUAGUUCUUGUGUUAUAAUGACAUGUGAAUAUUGACUUUUGGGUUGUAGGAUAGUAAAAUGUGCCUUGUUCUUGUGUUAUAAUGACUUGUGAAUAUUGCCUUUUGGGA